GGUAGAGGAGCGUCGUGUAAGUCUGUGAAGGGGCGUUGAGAAGCGCGCUGGAGAUAUCACGAGUGCGAAUGCUGACAUGAGUAACGAUAAUGCGGGUGAAAACCCCGCACGCCGGAAGACCCAGGGUUUCUGUUCGACGUCAAUCGGAGCAGAGUGAGUCGGCCCCUAAGGCGAGGCCGAAAGGCGUAGUCGAUGGGAAACGGGUUAAUAUUCCCGUACCGGAUGUGAUUGCGAUGGGGGGACGAAGAAGGCUAGGUGAGCCAGGCGUUGGUUGUCCUGGUGAAAGCCGGUAGGCCGAGGGUUCAGGGAAAUCCGGAUCCUCAAGGCCGAGAGGCGAGACGAACAGACUACGGUCUGGAAGUCAUCGAUGCCACGCUUCCAGGAAAAGCCUCUAAGCUUCAGAUCACAUGCGACCGUACCCCAAACCGACACAGGUGGUCAGGGUGAGAAUCCCAAGGCGCUUGAGAGAACUCGGGUGAAGGAACUAGGCAAAAUGGCACCGUAACUUCGGGAGAAGGUGCGCCGGCAUAGGGUGACGGACUUCGCGUCCCGAGCUCGAGCCGGUCGAAGAUACCAGGUGGCUGCAACUGUUUAUUAAAAACACAGCACUCUGCUAACGCGUAAGCGGACGUAUAGGGUGUGACGCCUGCCCGGUGCCGGAAGGUUAAUUGAUGGCGUUAGCUCCGGCGAAGCGCUUGAUCGAAGCCCCGGUAAACGGCGGCCGUAACUAUAACGGUCCUAAGGUAGCGAAAUUCCUUGUCGGGUAAGUUCCGACCUGCACGAAUGGCGUAAUGAUGGCCACGCUGUCUCCACCCGAGACUCAGUGAAAUUGAAAUCGCCGUGAAGAUGCGGUGUCCCCGCGGCUAGACGGAAAGACCCCGUGAACCUUUACUAUAGCUUCACACUGGAUGCUGAUGUUGCUUGUGUAGGAUAGCUGGGAGGCUUGGAACCUGGGACGCCAGUCCUAGGGGAGCCGACCUUGAAAUACCAGCCUGGCAUCAUUGGCGUUCUAACUUGGGCCCGUUAUCCGGGUCGAGGACAGUGUGUGGUGGGUAGUUUGACUGGGGCGGUCUCCUCCCAAAGCGUAACGGAGGAGCACGAAGGUACCCUCAGCACGGUUGGAAAUCGUGCAAUGAGUGCAAGAGCAUAAGGGUGCUUGACUGCGAGACAGACACGUCGAGCAGGUGCGAAAGCAGGUUCUAGUGAUCCGGUGGUUCUGUAUGGAAGGGCCAUCGCUCAACGGAUAAAAGGUACUCCGGGGAUAACAGGCUGAUACCGCCCAAGAGUUCACAUCGACGGCGGUGUUUGGCACCUCGAUGUCGGCUCAUCACAUCCUGGGGCUGAAGUCGGUCCCAAGGGUAUGGCUGUUCGCCAUUUAAAGUGGUACGCGAGCUGGGUUUAGAACGUCGUGAGACAGUUCGGUCCCUAUCUGCCGUGGGCGUUGGAGAUUUGAGAAGGGCUGCUCCUAGUACGAGAGGACCGGAGUGGACGCACCUCUGGUGUUCCGGUUGUCACGCCAGUGGCAUUGCCGGGUAGCUAUGUGCGGACGGGAUAACCGCUGAAAGCAUCUAAGCGGGAAGCCCCCUUCAAGAUGAGAUCUCCCCGAGGCCUCGAGCCUCCUGAAGGGCCCAGCGAGACCAGCUGGUUGAUAGGCACGGUGUGGAAGCGCUGUAAGGCGUUGAGCUAACGUGUACUAAUGGCCCGUGAGGCUUGACCAUAUAACACCCAAAGGGU
rnacentral:rRNA from 1 species